GUCUACGGCCAUACCACCCUGGACACGCCUCGUGAAGCUAAGCAGGGUCAGACCUGGCUGGUACUUGGAUGGGAGUGUAUAAGCCACUGGGUGCUGUGGUGC
ensembl:rRNA 5S_rRNA 5S ribosomal RNA